GUGAGUUAUGAAACCUGGGUGCAGUCCAGCGUCCGUGAAAAAGGCCCAUGGGUAUCUCCAGGGAUCACUGGCACAAGCGUCGUAAAACCGGAGGGAAAAGAAAGCCCUACCAUAAGAAAAGAAAGUAUGAACUGGGUCGCCCUCCUGCCAACACAAAGAUCGGCCCCUGUCGUAUUCACACAGUGCGCGUGAGGGGAGGCAAUAAGAAAUACCGCGCGCUGAGACUGGACAGCGGGAACUUCGCCUGGGGCUCUGAGGGUGA